CGGCGGCCGAAAUCGGGCUUUCGACGACACCGGCGGGCUUGGACCGGGCCUUAAACUUGGCCCAACAAAUCUCAGCUCAAGCUGAGACUUGUUGCUGAAUAGGGCUUGACUUCACGGGCUUGGGCCUCAAAAUCGCGGGCUUGGACUGCUGACUUCUUGGGCCAAUGUUGGGCUGGACCAAGGAUGGGCUUCAACUGUGAGCUG
rnacentral:lncRNA from 1 species